UCCCUAACCAAAUCAUGUCGGUAUUUGAACCCCGGGAGCUCUCUACAAUGAACUGCAUGCUCACCAAAAGAAUCCAAACACGCCUUAUGACAAACUGGGCAUACCUCGUCAACUGGGAAUAAAGGAAUCAUGAGGCGAUACUUAAGGAUAGUACGGUACUGAUGUGUACUCCACCGGCGACAUAUGCUGGCCUAACCCAUCUACAGGUAUAG
rnacentral:lncRNA from 1 species